ensembl:misc_RNA Metazoa_SRP Metazoan signal recognition particle RNA
GCUGGGCACAGUAGCGCAUGCCUGUAGUCCCAGCUACUCGGGAGGCUGAGACAGGAGAAUUGCUUGAACCCAGGAGGCAGAGGUUGCAGUGAGCCAAGAUUGCGCCACUGCACUCCAGCCUGGGUGACAGAGCAAGACUCCGUCUCAA